UACGAAGGGGGCUAGCGUUGUUCGGAUUUACUGGGCGUAAAGCGCGCGUAGGCGGAUCGAUCAGUCAGGGGUGAAAUCCCGGGGCUCAACCCCGGAACUGCCUUUGAUACUGUCGAUCUGGAGUAUGGAAGAGGUGAGUGGAAUUCCGAGUGUAGAGGUGAAAUUCGUAGAUAUUCGGAGGAACACCAGUGGCGAAGGCGGCUCACUGGUCCAUUACUGACGCUGAGGUGCGAAAGCGUGGGGAGCGAACAGG
rnacentral:rRNA from 1 species